rnacentral:rRNA from 1 species
UACGUAGGUGGCAAGCGUUGUUCGGAAUUACUGGGCGUAAAGGGCGCGUAGGCGGCCAACUAAGUCACACGUGAAAUCCCCAGGCUUAACCUGGGAACUGCGUGUGAUACUGGAUGGCUUGAAUUCGGGAGAGGGAUGCAGAAUUCCAGGUGUAGCGGUGAAAUGCGUAGAUAUCUGGAGGAAUCCCGGGGGCGAAGGCGGCAUCCGGGACGACAUUGACGCUGGGGCGCGAAAGCUAGGGGAGCAAACGGG